rnacentral:rRNA from 1 species
UGCCAGCAGCCGCGGUAAUACGGAGGGGGCAAGCGUUGCUCGGAAUUACUGGGCGUAAAGCGAGCGUAGGUGGUUUAUUAAGUUGGAUGUGAAAGCCCCGGGCUCAACCUGGGAACUGCAUUCGAUACUGGCAGACUAGAGUGCGAGAGAGGGAGGUAGAAUUCCAUGUGUAGCGGUGAAAUGCGUAGAUAUGUGGAGGAAUACCAGUGGCGAAGGCGGCCUCCUGGCUCGACACUGACACUGAGGUGCGAAAGCGUGGGGAGCAAACAGGAUUAGAUA